GGAGACUGACUACGCACACAUUGCUUGAUCAUAUUCUGCACAAUGAAGGUGUUUCUGUUUGAUCAAGAUUUUGGCUUGGCAUCCUUGAAGACUGUUGUAUUGGACCUGUUGUGAUUAUAGGGGAUAGACUCGUGGAGUCUGGUUCACUUUGAGGAUUGUUCAAAGUGGUGGUUGGCAGAUUGCAGGAGAGGGGACAUCUUGCUGCAAGUCUUGCUGUUUUUUGUUGCCUAUAUUUUGGUUAAGGGUUAGAGAGGAGAUUUAUAUUUUUGACGUGGAGGUCUUCUAUAAAAUCCUUGUUGUAAAAACCGCAACCAUUAUAGUGCAUUUGCUUCAUGGGUUAGAAGGACACUAGAUGUAUGCAUUAUUGGCCAAACCAGUAUAAAAACCAAUGUUUGAUUUUCUCUAUCCCUGCACUUUUACUUUAUAGUCGAAUUUACUUCUAGCGCAGUCAAC
rnacentral:lncRNA from 1 species